GCCUCCUUAGCAUCAUAGGUUUCCUUCUAGAUAAUCUCCAUAUUCUCGGCCCUAUCAACUAAAUCAUCAUAAUUUAUUGAGUGUACUAUAGCCAGACCUCGACGUAUAUGUGGCUUCAACCCCUCUUCAAAUCUCCUCAUUCUAGAUGCAGCAUCCAUGACAAGGGUGGGAGUGAAUUGGGAUAAUUUAUCAAACUCAACUUCAUACUCAUCCACAGUCAUACUAUCCUGAUAGAUG
rnacentral:lncRNA from 1 species